CACAAAGGAAAUUUUUCCUCUUCGUUGAAUUCGUUGAAUGUUAUUUGGUGCAUCAGUCGUGUUUGUCGCGUGUAUUAACGAUGUCUCGUGUACGUAAAGAUUUAUCGCUCGCGCAAAAAUUAGAAAUUAUCGACAAGAUUAAAUUACAGCCACCAGGCUGUAGUACUCGUUGUCUUUCGGAAAUUUUAGGAAUACCGAAAUCAACAAUCGCACGAAUUCAACUUCAAGAACAGGUUUUGCGAGAACAAGCUCUUAG